rnacentral:lncRNA from 1 species
UUUUUAUAGCAUGAUACACUUUGACAUUUAUUUUAGAAUGCAACAGAACAUGAAAAAAUAUCAAAUGAUAUAAAGUGAUCAUCUCAGUGAAAGACAAAAUAGAACAUAUUAUAAAGAAAAUGUGGUUAGUAACUUUAGUUUACAAUUACACAGUAUAAGAUGAGGAAACUUAAAAAAUACUAUGUCAUAUUAACACUUCAGUGGUAAACAAUAAUUUCAUUAUUAUUAAUUUAUAGAUCACUAUGUCACAUAAAUAAGUUCAGUCAUAUCAUAUGUGGUCUUGAUGGACAUUCUUAAAUUUAUGCUAAUCUUUUUUCAAGCAGUCAUAUUUCACUAUUUAGCUGUUCUAAUUAAUCUAAGUACUGUAUUUCUAUGGCAAAGUAAUGAAGGCACAGCUAGUACAAGCAAAUUUAAACCUUUAGUUUUCUGGGCUGGAAAAGAAAAACCACUUGCAUUGGUACUUCAGAAACUUUUUUUCAAGCAAAUAUUUGUCUCUAUUGACAAUUAUGAGUUUUCACAGCUACAUUCUAAUAGGAACAUGACAAAAGGACUUCACAAAAAUCAAAACUCUGUAGCACCAAACUAGCAUGCUUUAGAUAACUGGCAGAAUUUACAUAUUUGAAGAAUAUUACACUACAAUAAGCUAAACUGAUACUUAGACUCUGUUAAGACAUUUUUUAGAAUACCAAGAAAAUAUGAAAACACAAGACUGUAAGGAAUGCUUGUGUUGAGUUUAUAAAGAAGCCACCCUGCCCUCCCACCACCAAGGCCGCCCCCCCCCCCCCCCCCCCCCCCCCCGCAUCUCACAUGAGCCUAUAUAAACCUGCUUUACUUCUGCUUGAGGUUUUGAGAUGCUUGAAAAUUUCUUCAGGCUGCCUCUUUUUUUAUUUUCGAUACUUCCUGUUUCCAUAAUCUUUACCAUCAUCAUAGGUACCUUUGACUUCUCCUGUAUAGUAAUAGAUUGAUUUCAGGAUGACGUUAUCAUGUAAAAUUUGACCAAUUUCAAAAUCUUCAUCCAGGAUGGCAUCUUCUCGUGGUUCUAGCUUUCCAAUCUUAGGAAUCUCAGGAGGGCUAAAGAAAUUGAAGAAUGAUGCAUUAGCAACCACUCUUGGCUGAAUUUCAAUUUCUCCACUAGCAGUUGUACGGCUCUGGGUGGUUGUCACGGUAACAUCCUUUCCUCUUCUCCAAUCGAUUUUACAGCCUUUGCAAUCUUGGAUUUCCCAUCCCCAAGAGAAGAAGGGAUCGUUGUGAUCUGGUUUUGACUUUAUUAUAUAUGUCUUGGUCAGCAUCUCAUUUCUGAAGUAUGGAUUAGGUAGAAAAUAAAAUUCAAACGUGUAGCUUAUAGGCUGGCCAGGUUUUGAGAACUUUAGGCUAAUAUCUGACAAGAACUUCAAAAUGGGGGCAUCAUACUUCUGAAUCAUGGGCCCAAGCUUGUCGACAUUCUUUAAAACAGUCAGCCAAUAGUCAGGAAUGCCUUUAGGAUCUUCUUUUUUAGGCUUUCCCUUACGAGCUCUUUUAAGAUUUACUCUUUCUUUAGGCCUGACCUCAGAAAUUCUUUUAGGAGCCUCUAUUACAGCAGCCUUUGCCUUAGCCUCUGCUGCUUUAGGCUGUUUUUGAUCUUCUGCAUUUUGCUGGGGGACUACUUCAGGCUCUUCUUUCACUUCAGGCUUUAUACCCAGAAAAUCUUUAGAUUCUGCGUUUUCUUCAGUCUUUGCCUCAGGAAUUUCUUUUGGAACCUCGUUUUCUUCAGCCUUUACCUGAGGUUUUUCCUUAGGGUUAUCAUCUUCCUGCUCACUUUCUAAGGCAGGCAUUUCAAUAGGGCUGUCUUCCUGCACCUCCUCAUCACUGCUGAACACCUCAUCCUCUGAAUUCCAUUCAUAUUCUUCUUCUGUAGGUUCAUAUUCUGCAUUGAUUAUUUGAAAUCGCCGAUCGUAUAGAGGCUUAUUGAGUUCGGCAUAUUUUCUUUCGAGAUCGUGAAUUGCCUUUAAGAACAGGAUGUCAACCUUGUCACAUUCAUCUUGAAUAUUUCUGAGAGCCUGCACACGAUUUCUAACUGCCUGAGGCAGCCGAUCCACAAAACUUUUACCCAGCGGAGCCCCCCGUGCUCCUCUGGAAGGCCCAGAUACCCUCUUCUUUCUAUAUAAGCGGCUGCGGCCACUGCCGCUGCUGCUGCUGCAACUAGUGCUGCUGCUAGAGCUAUUGCUGUCCGAUUCUUCCCCAGAAUCACUAGACGAGCUAGCCAUCUUCUCUUCAGUAACCCUUUGGGCGGCAGGUUCCGAGACCAUGUUAAGAUCCUCUUCUGCCAUUUUGCAAACCUGCAAACCCCUUAAUAUGGUGACUACCACUGAGACCGCGCGCUCAGAGAUGGGCAGAAAAUGACUCACGUAUGCUUGGGUAGCGGCAGAGGCUGGGGCUGAGGAGGUUGCAGCAGCGAAGGUAACAGCGCAGGGCGGGGCUGGGUUGGGCUGCGGUGAUCGCGCAGACGUGGAAGCCACAAUAGAGGCCUGGGCGAGAGUGGAGGUGGCAAGGCCUCUCACUGCAGCUGCGACGGACAGAGGCGUGCUGCACC